UUUUGCCUCGGUUUCCAGCAAAAAAAAUUGCUGGAAACGUUCAGCAAUCCAAAUUUUUGCUGGAAACCAGCAAUCGAUUUUCUUAUUGCUGGAUUUUUCAGCAUUCGGUUGUGUUCUUGUCAUUUUUGCUGGAAAAUCAGCAAUCGGUUUUCAAAUUGCUGGACUUUCCAGCAAUCGGUCUAGUUUGCUGGAAAAUCAGCAAUCGAGUUGUCAAAUUGGAGUCUGUUUGUUUUCGUACGCUGAAGCAAGCAACCAGACAUCAAGUCAAGGGUGGCGGAUGAUUAUCACAUUGGCA